AGAAAACAAAAUCUUCUUGAAAUCCAGAACCAAAAGCACAAAUUUCAUGAUGAAAUAAAGCAGGUCCGAUAUAAAAUAAACGAACACCUUGACACUCUAGAGCAACGGCUACUCCAGGAUCUAUAUGAUGCCGAAAAGAAAGUUAAAUCACAACUUGAGGAAUUACUAGCAAAACUCGCUGAAAAUACAGAAAAAGUUAUUUCAAUGGAAAAUAAUGUUUCAGCCAUAAAAGAUUAUGCGUCAGACCUACA
rnacentral:lncRNA from 1 species